rnacentral:rRNA from 1 species
GACGUAGGGCGCGAGCGUUGUCCGGAUUUAUUGGGCGUAAAGAGCUCGUAGGCGGCUUGUUGCGUCGACUGUGAAAACCUGCGGCUCAACCGUGUGGUCUGCAGUCGAUACGGGCAGGCUGGAGUUCGGUAGGGGAGACUGGAAUUCCCGGUGUAGUGGUGAUAUGCGUAGAUAUCGGGAGGAACACCGAUGGCGAAGGCAGCUCGCUGGGACGGUACUGACGCUGAGGCGCGAAAGCGUGGGGAGCGAACAGG